AGGUUUAACAGCUGGUGAAACACUUGAUGGUUAGUGACUGUCAGUUCCACUAAAAAUAAAUCAAGUUCACAUCCCAGUGUGCUUCAACGAGGGUGAAAAGACUGAUGAUGAUGGUGAUGAUGGAAUAUUGGAGCACUGUGUUGUAGAGUAAAUGUCUUUCAACAAACAUUUUAGUAUGUUCCAGAGAGCUUGCGUCCUCUCAUUGGCCUGUUCCAAUAUUCUGCAAAACGCCGCAGAGCACCAUUGGUCUGUUCCAACGUGCUUCUCCAAUUUUUAUUGGCUCUCCCGUUGCCAUCCCGUUGCUGUCCCAGCAUCCUACCACACUUCUGACUUACAGCAUUUGAAUGUUUUCCAAACUGGCAUCUCCAUAUUCCAGGCCAGCGCCUGUGAGGGUGAGACCUUCCUGACUGGAAAGCAGACUAGUGUGCACUCUCAGGGAGGGUUGUCAGUUUGACUACCAUAAAACUCCAAAAGAUGGGGCCGUUUCAGCCCGACCACUUGGGCUGCUUUCAGGAAAAAAGCACGCAUGAAGUGUCUCUCUGGAGAGAAGUUGCACUACACAAAAUCAGCCUGUCGGAUGACCAGGAAAUCAGCCACCUCUAUAUUAGAAAAAACAAAGAAGACAUUCAGUUUAGUUCCACUACCUAUACAGCUGUGAAGGUUAACCAUCGUCUAGUACAUUAUGACUCAUCCAUUUCUGAUCCCAGAUGGGUCUUCAGUCUGCGUUUGAAGGCUGCAAGGGACUCUGCUGUCCAGACAGCAAAUGGGAGUUCAUUCCACCAUCUUGGAGCCAGGAGAGAAAUGCUUGUCGUCUCGAUGUUCGUCAUCCAUGAGACCUGAAGAAAGCUACAGGGAGCCAAUGAAGGGAGUGCAGCAGUGGAGUAAUGUGUGAACUUUGGAAGAUUGAAGACUAGUUGUGCUGCUUCAGGUGCAACCUGCUUAACCUUCAUCCUUUAGGAGGCCUGGAAGACAAGCAUCAAGACUCCUUGUUGUAGCCCUGCAGGUGGUGAAGUUUCUCUGGUUGUCUGAACACUAGAUUCCCUCAUUGUCAUCACAUGCUGACUGAAAAUGCACUUACCUUAACAUUAGUUUUGUACUUAUUAAAAUGUUUUAACUGCAUUUAUGAAAUAUGCUAUUGUGUUACAAACAACAGUCAUUCUGGAUGAGUGUCUGCUAAAUGCCUUAAAUCUUAAUGUAAAUAUGUAUGUUACUAUUUCAGAAUUAAUUAUUGGUGAACAAUUCAGGAAUUCACAAGAUUUGCACCUUUAGUUAAUAUAUUGGUAAAAUCACAGCUUUACUAAUCUUACUGGCUUCUAAGUCUUUGUGAACCCCAGUUAAAAUAAUUUAAAAGUGUAGCCAUACAAAUUAUUUAUAAACUACAGCUGCUGUUUGUUACAGUUUAACAAAUUCUCUGUAGCAUUUUUGUAACCACUAAAGUGGAAACUAUUCAAUAUGCACGAAUAUCCACAAAUGUACAUCUACAUUUACAAAUGGAACACGUUCCAGUAAACUUAUCAUUUCA